rnacentral:tRNA from 2 species
GGGGAUGUGCUGGAACUGGCAGACAGGUGGCGCUUAGGACGCCAUGUCGCAAGACGUGUGGGUUCGACCCCCACCAUCCCCACCA